rnacentral:rRNA from 1 species
UACAGAGGUCCCGAGCGUUGUUCGGAUUCACUGGGCGUAAAGGGUGCGUAGGUGGUGAGGUAAGUCGGAUGUGAAAUCUCCGGGCUCAACCCGGAAAUGGCAUUGGAAACUACCUUGCUUGAGGAUUUGAGGGGGGAUUGGAAUUCCUGGUGUAGCGGUGAAAUGCGCAGAUAUCAGGAGGAACACCGGUGGCGAAGGCGGGUCUCUGGGCAACAACUGACGCUGAGGAGCGAUAGCGUGGGGAGCGAACAGG